rnacentral:rRNA from 1 species
CCUACGGGAGGCAGCAGUGAGGAAUAUUGGUCAAUGGGCGCAAGCCUGAACCAGCCAAGUCGCGUGAGGGAUGACGGUCCUAUGGAUUGUAAACCUCUUUUGUCGGGGAGCAAGGCCCGCCACGUGUGGCGGGAAGGAGAGUACCCGAAGAAAAAGCAUCGGCUAACUCCGUGCCAGCAGCCGCGGUAAUACGGAGGAUGCGGGCGUUACCCGGAUUUAUUGGGUUUAAAGGUGGCGUAGGCGGAAUGUUAAGUCAGCGGUAAAAUGUCGGUGCUCAACACCGGCCUGCCGUUGAAACUGGUCUUCUUGAGUGAGCGAGAAGUAUGCGGAAUGCGUGGUGUAGCGGUGAAAUGCAUAGAUAUCACGCAGAACUCCGAUUGCGAAGGCAGCAUACCGGCGCUCAACUGACGCUGAGGCACGAAAGCGUGGGGAUCGAACAGGAUUAGAUACCCGUGUAGUC